rnacentral:rRNA from 1 species
UACGGAGGGGGCGAGCGUUGUCCGGAAUCACUGGGCGUAAAGGGCGCGUAGGCGGCCUGAUAAGUCGGGGGUGAAAUCCUGCGGCUUAACCGCAGGGCUGCCUUCUAAACUGUCAGGCUAGAGCACAGUAGAGGCAGGUGGAAUUCCCGGUGUAGCGGUGGAAUGCGCAGAUAUCAGGAGGAACACCGGUGGCGAAGGCGGGUCGCUGGGCAGUAACUGACGCUGAGAAGCGAAAGCGUGGGGAGCAAACAGG